rnacentral:rRNA from 1 species
UGCGAUAAUUAUACCAACAUUAACGCAUCAGAUCCAUCAGAACUCUGCAAUUAAACGUGUUUGGACUAGAGUAGUAGUACUGAAAUUGGUUAACGACCAUUCGAAAAGUUUUCAUAC